GAGAAUACAGUGAAGAGAAAAGUACAGUAAUAAAAAGCUUUUAGAGAGUCUCGGUUGGUGAAAAGAGACAGUGGCUUAUUAGUGGAAAAUGGUCUUGGAGUAUUAAUGAUUGAACUAGAAAAUUUCUUUUAAAUCAUUACGGGAGCACCUGUUAUAGUGCUAAGAUAUGCGAAUCAAUAAAGAUUCAAGUAUUGGAGAGAUAGCGUUUAUUUAGCGCUAUAAAAAAGGUGGUACCGCGGAAACUUCCGUCCUUUGU
rfam:Carnobacterium maltaromaticum LMA28 complete genome